rnacentral:rRNA from 1 species
GACGAACGCUGGCGGCGUGCUUAACACAUGCAAGUCGAACGGAAAGGCCCUGCUUGCAGGGUACUCGAGUGGCGAACGGGUGAGUAACACGUGGGUGAUCUGCCCUGCACUUCGGGAUAAGCCUGGGAAACUGGGUCUAAUACCGGAUAGGCGCCAUUUUUAGUGUGAUGGUUGGUAAGUUUUUUCGGUGUAGGAUGAGCUUGCGGCCUAUCAGCUUGUUGGUGGGGUAAUGGCCUACCAAGGCGGCGACAGGUAGCCGGACUGAGAGGGUGGACGGCCACAUUGGGACUGAGGGGCGGCCCAGACUCCUACGGUAGGCAGCAGUGGGGAAGAUUGCACAAGGGGCGCAAGCCGGAUGCAGCGAGGCCGCGUGGGGGAUGACGGCCUUCGGGUUGAAAACUCGUUGCGCGAGGGACGAAGCUUGUUGUGACGGUACCUAGAGAAGAAGCACCGGCUAACUACGUG